CAAAAACAAUAAUGUCUGCUUUACUCAUUCUGGGAACACUGGCUCUACUUACUCAAGUGUCUCAUCAGGAGGACCAGUCUCCUAAGUCUCUGUCUGUUAAAGCAGGUGGAUCAGCUUCUAUUAACUGCAUUACAUCUUCUGGAAUUGAUUAUAACUUGAGCUGGUAUCAGCUGAAAGCUGGAAAAGCUCCUAAACUCUUGAUCUACAGAUCGAGUAACCUUGCAUAUGGAGUUCCAAGUCGGUUCAGUGGAACUAAUUCUGGAUACACAUUUACACUGAACAUAAAAGGAGUUCAGCCUGAGGAUGACGGAGAGUAUUACUGUAUGGGGGCUUAUGUUGGUGCGUUCACUUCAGUAUUCACACAGUGA